GUCCCAGCAGCCGCGGUAAUACGGAGGAUGCGAGCGUUAUCCGGAUUUAUUGGGUUUAAAGGGUGCGUAGGCGGUUUGAUAAGUCAGUGGUGAAAGUUUUCAGCUUAACUGGAAAAAUGCCAUUGAUACUGUCAGGCUAGAAUAUGGUUGCUGUGAGUGGAAUGUGUGGUGUAGCGGUGAAAUGCUUAGAUAUCACACAGAAUAUCGAUUGCGAAGGCAGCUCACAAAGCCAUUAUUGACGCUGAGGCACGAAAGUGUGGGGAUCAAACAGGAUUAGAUACCCUGGUAGUCCACACUGUAAACGAUGAUAACUAGUUGUUGGCGAUACACAGUCAGUGACCAAGCGAAAGCGAUAAGUUAUCCACCUGGGGAGUACGACCGCAAGGUUGAAACUCAAAGGAAUUGACGGGGGCCCGCACAAGCGGAGGAACAUGUGGUUUAAUUCGAUGAUACGCGAGGAACCUUACCCGGGCUCGAACGGUGCAGGAAUAUGGUAGAGAUAUCAUAGCUAGCAAUAGUCUGUAUCGAGGUGCUGCAUGGUUGUCGUCAGCUCGUGCCGUGAGGUGUCGGCUUAAGUGCCAUAACGAGCGCAACCCUUGUCGUUAGUUGCCAUCAGGUCAAGCUGGGAACUCUAACGAGACUACCACCGUAAGGUGUGAGGAAGGGGGGGAUGACGUCAAAUCAGCACGGCCCUUACGUCCGGGGCGACACACGUGUUACAAUGGUAGGUACAGAGGGCCGCUAACCAGCGAUGGUGUGCAAAUCUCAAAAACCUAUCUCAGUUCGGAUCGGAGUCUGCAACUCGACUCCGUGAAGUUGGAUUCGCUAGUAAUCGCGCAUCAGCCAUGGCGCGGUGAAUACGUUCCUGGGCCUUGUACACACCGCCCGUCAAGCCAUGNA
rnacentral:rRNA from 1 species